rnacentral:snRNA from 1 species
CAAGGGAGAUGCUAUGAUCAAGCAGGUGGUUUUCCCAGGACAAGGCUCAUCCUCUGCACUCUGGGUGUGCUGACGCCUGCAACAUCCCCAAAUGUGGGAAACUCGACUG